UAGUGUUCAGCAGCAGCAGCAACGACCGGCUGGACGGCAGGGUCAUCUGUGUUGCCUAGCAGACAGAUCCUUGCCUACAGCCAAAGAACGGCUAACGGCUAAUCCUGCCACCUGCCUGAAAACACGCCGUCGGUUAUGUUGCGGCAUAGGUUCUGAGAUGGCGGAAAAACGUAUUACGUGUCUGAAGCUUUCACAUCCAGAUAGCAUUAGAAACAUAAUGAUGAUUUGUGUGCAGCGCUGCAAAAAGAAGCCCACUUAUUGUACAUAGCCCCAGCGGCCGGCUGAUCCUUCAGUUCUGACUCAGAAGUGACAAGGUGGAGGAAUGCCUGAUUGUGCUGUGAUCUGAUGGCCAGUGGCUUGUGUGUGUGAAAGGGUUUCAGCCGCAGAAACACACCCCCAUCAGCCUGUCCUUUCUCU